AUUCUCAAAAGCACUUCACUGAAAAUCGCAUUAAUCCUUGUAAUUUCCAUGAUAAUAGGCCUGGAUCAGGGUUUUGUGAGGAAGGGGCGGGGUAAGUGGGGCCAGAGCUCCUGGGGAUCGUGGGAAAGACUAAGUGCAGAGUUCUGACCCAGGAGUUGGUUGUGGGCAGAGCUACAACUUCAGGACACUUGGGAGGGGUGCCUUGCUUCCCUUUGGCGGGGGCACCCCUCCUGGUGCUACCUCUCCACUCUGUUUCAGUGUGUGUGCGCUAUCGCGUCAGGGAGACCAACUGUAGGCUUUUGGAGAAACUUGGAAAGAGAAGUUCAGCACAGCCAGUGACUGAAGUCCCAAGGACGUGGCAGAAAAUCAAGAAAUAAAAAAGCUGGAGAGACACUAAGAGAACACUGGAUGUUAAUCAUACUGGCAUUUCUUUUUUAAAGGCUGGAGAAACUUUGGAUGCGAUUAUAAAUCAAAACCAAAAAUAAAUCUUCCUUCAAAGGACGAUCCCAGGUGCCAGCACGACUCUUGAGAGUAUUUCAGAGCUUCCUCAAUUUCAACCAAAGUCCAAAGAUUCCCUGUAAACAGAGGUACUAUGUAUUUUGAAUUCUGACUUUUGACAAUUUUCCACGGGAAUCUCAUGUUUCUGCACACCUUGUGAGAGGAGGCACAGAGCUUUCUUGUUCCAGACUAUCUUUUUAUGUAGGAAACAACCUUGGAAGAGAGAGUUUUCCCCUCUUGGACAGCCUUGCUUGCAUGCCCUUUAAAAGACUAGGCUUCCUGAGCUGGAAAUUCCUCAGCUGUGACAGCCUCUACCUGGGCUACUCGGCAUCGCCCCCAUGGAACUUGGAAGACCAGAGGAGCAGAUGAGGAACAGGAAGCUCACACAGCCAGAGAGCCUUCUGACCUGGGACUCUCCUGUCUUUGGCCAACGUCCAUGACACUGUGGCCGGUUAACUUGUUAGCUUGCACACAGCGUCUGACCCUUCAUAGUUGUUGACACCAGUCACCCCCGAAACUUAAAUCUCAUAGAAUAAAAGGCUUUCUUUGUCCUACCUGA